GAACGGGUGAGUAACACGUGAGUAACCUGCCCUUGACUCUGGGAUAAGCCUGGGAAACCGGGUCUAAUACUGGAUAUGACCUUCUGGCGCAUGCCAUGUUGGUGGAAAGCUUUAUUGCGGUUUUGGAUGGACUCGCGGCCUAUCAGCUUGUUGGUGGGGUAAUGGCCUACCAAGGCGACGACGGGUAGCCGGCCUGAGAGGGUGGACGGCCACACUGGGACUGAGACACGGCCCAGACUCCUACGGGAGGCAGCAGUGGGGAAUAUUGCACAAUGGGCGCAAGCCUGAUGCAGCGACGCCGCGUGGGGGAUGAAGGCCUUCGGGUUGUAAACCUCUUUCAGUAGGGAAGAAGCGAAAGUGACGGUACCUGCAGAAGAAGCGCCGGCUAACUACGUGCCAGCAGCCGCGGUAAUACGUAGGGCGCAAGCGUUAUCCGGAAUUAUUGGGCGUAAAGAGCUCGUAGGCGGUUUGUCGCGUCUGCCGUGAAAGUCCGGGGCUUAACUCCGGAUCUGCGGUGGGUACGGGCAGACUAGAGUGAUGUAGGGGAGACUGGAAUUCCUGGUGUAGCGGUGAAAUGCGCAGAUAUCAGGAGGAACACCGAUGGCGAAGGCAGGUCUCUGGGCAUUAACUGACGCUGAGGAGCGAAAGCAUGGGGAGCGAACAGGAUUAGAUACCCUGGUAGUCCAUGCCGUAAACGUUGGGCACUAGGUGUGGGGGACAUUCCACGUUUUCCGCGCCGUAGCUAACGCAUUAAGUGCCCCGCCUGGGGAGUACGGCCGCAAGGCUAAAACUCAAAGGAAUUGACGGGGGCCCGCACAAGCGGCGGAGCAUGCGGAUUAAUUCGAUGCAACGCGAAGAACCUUACCAAGGCUUGACAUGAACUGGAACAGCGCAGAGAUGUGUUGGCCGCUUGCGGCCGGUUUACAGGUGGUGCAUGGUUGUCGUCAGCUCGUGUCGUGAGAUGUUGGGUUAAGUCCCGCAACGAGCGCAACCCUCGUUCUAUGUUGCCAGCGCGUUAUGGCGGGGACUCAUAGGAGACUGCCGGGGUCAACUCGGAGGAAGGUGGGGACGACGUCAAAUCAUCAUGCCCCUUAUGUCUUGGG
rnacentral:rRNA from 1 species